rnacentral:rRNA from 1 species
GUUGAUCCUGGCUCAGAGCGAACGCUGGCGGCAGGCUUAACACAUGCAAGUCGAACGGGCCCUUCGGGGGUCAGUGGCAGACGGGUGAGUAACGCGUGGGAACGUGCCCAUCGGUUCGGGAUAACCCAGGGAAACUUGGGCUAAUACCGGAUACGCCCUUUUGGGGAAAGAUUCAUUGCCGAUGGAUCGGCCCGCGUCUGAUUAGCUAGUUGGCGAGGUAACGGCUCACCAAGGCGACGAUCAGUAGCUGGUCUGAGAGGAUGAUCAGCCACACUGGGACUGAGACACGGCCCAGACUCCUACGGGAGGCAGCAGUGGGGAAUAUUGGACAAUGGGCGCAAGCCUGAUCCAGCCAUGCCGCGUGAGUGAUGAAGGCCUUAGGGUUGUAAAGCUCUUUCACCCACGACGAUAAUGACGGUAGUGGGAGAAGAAGCCCCGG